rnacentral:rRNA from 1 species
CUUCCAUGAAGCCGGAAUUGCUAGUAAUGGCAGGUCAGCAUACUGCCGUGAAUACGUUCCCGGGGCCCUUGUUACACACCGCCCGUCACACCAUGAGAGUUGGGGAUACCCGAAGCCUGUGAGCUAACUUUAUAAGGAGCAGCAGUCGAAGGUAGAAUCAAUGAUUGGGGUGAAGUCGUAACAAGGUACC